AGGCGACCAUAUCUGAAUCAGAGGCGUCAGUCUGAAUCUGAUGAAUGAAAUGAUGCCUCUCUGGGCUUGAGGUCCCCCAACAGAAAUUGCAUUCCUCUUGCAAGGACAGGAAAGAUCCACCAUAAUCAGAGUAAGCCUUUUUAUUCUGAAAGCUAUCAAGAAAAGAGCAGAUUUCCUGAAAGAAGAACCAGGAAAAUAAGAUUCUGACUGUAAAUAGAAGAUCAGCUGCUGUCCUUUCCUUUUCGCCUUGUCUUUUACCCAUGUUGUCUUUUGAAAUGGUCAUAUGACUGGUCAAAUAAAUAAAUAUUAUCACUUGAAUGUCUAUA